GGGCCUGUAGCUCAGCUAGGUAGAGCACCUGGCUUUUAACCAGGUGGCCAGGGGUUCGAAUGAAAUACUUGAAGUAUUCAGAAAAUCCCCUCAGGCCCG
rnacentral:tRNA from 1 species